rnacentral:rRNA from 1 species
UACGGAGGGUGCUAGCGUUGUUCGGAAUUACUGGGCGUAAAGCGCGUGUAGGCGGCCUUACAGGUCAGCUGUGAAAACUCGAGGCUCAACCUCGAGACGUCGGUUGAAACCGUAUGGCUAGAGUCCGGAAGAGGAGAGUGGAAUUCCCGGUGUAGCGGUGAAAUGCGCAGAUAUCGGGAAGAACACCCGUGGCGAAGGCGGCUCUCUGGGACGGUACUGACGCUGAGACGCGAAAGCGUGGGGAGCGAACAGG